GUUGGUUAAGAAUGAUUUUGUCAGCCCUUUUACUCACUCUGGAUGAGUGCAGGUCUUGGAGAUUGGGGUGAGUUGUACCAGUGAUUCACUCAGCAGUCUGGACAGUCCGCUGCAUUUGGUAUGAGCUGAACCAGACAGUUGUAGAAGUGCAGAGGAUGGAUUCAAUGACUGCAGAGUAGAACUGUACCAGCAGCUCCUGUGACAAGUUGGACUUUAUCAGCUGGUGAAGGAAAUACAUCCUCUGCUGGAAUGUUUAGGAGUCUAUGUGGAACUCCCACUUUAGCUCCUGAGAGAUGGUGGUGCCCAGGAACCUGAAUGAUUCAACUGCUGUUUAUGAUGGAGAAUGCAGUGCAGUCAAACUGCAGUGAGUCCAGCAAGCUUCCAGUGAUGUCCUUCAGGGCUGUUCUGUCCCAGUAUAUUCUGGGUGGUGUAGUCGACGUGUAUUCACAGUUGGUCUACUGAACAUCAUGGACAUUCCUCACUCAACAUCAGUUGCAUUUAUAUCUGUGCCAUUGAUAGUCUGCAGCAGUUUUGAAAGGAGGGUGCAACAGAUUUGAUCAAAUUU